UACAGCGGUCCCAAGCGUUGUUCGGAUUCAUUGGGCGUAAAGAGCUCGUAGGCGGUUUGUCGCGUCUGCUGUGAAAACUCGGGGCUUAACUCCGGGCCUGCAGUGGGUACGGGCAGACUAGAGUGCGGUAGGGGUGACUGGAAUUCCUGGUGUAGCGGUGAAAUGCGCAGAUAUCAGGAGGAACACCGGUGGCGAAGGCGGGUCUCUGGGCCGUAACUGACGCUGAGGAGCGAAAGCGUGGGGAGCGAACAGG
rnacentral:rRNA from 1 species